GCAAGCCAGAAAUUUCAGUGUGUACUCUGUCUUCCUAACAAUAAGGGGUAUAAUUUUAAGAGCUAUGUGACAGCACAUCUUCAGUCCUAGGAAAAAAAUUUAGAAUAAGUAUUUCAAUUUAAUGCCAAUCGCAAUAUAUAUAUUUCAAUAUAUAAAUCAUGGCGCUAACCACACUGAAUGCUGUCACCUGCAGUGUCGUAAGUUAUAGACUAAAACCAAGUAGACAUCACAAAAUUUUGGUAGAUCAAAAACCUCAAGAAUUUUUUCCCCCAAAAAAGAUGGAAGCUGGACAAAAUAUCAACAAUGAAAAUAUUCAAAUGCCAGUACCAAUAAAUAUUGAUAUUACCGAUAAUUGUGAAUCAAGAAAUGAACCUGAUGGAAAAUAUACAGAAAAAAUAAAGAAAAACUUUUUUCGAAGAUUAUUAAUUGCACUGAUACCUUGUUAUAAAUGAGAAACAAAAAUACAAUUCUUUAUAGGUUUAACAAACUCGAAAAACAUUCGAGUAUUCUAACAUUCUUAAUUUCAUGACAUCUCAUUUUAGUAUCCUAAAAUUUAUUCAAUUUGAUGAGGAAUUUUUAUUCUGCUUAAAUGAUAACCAAUUCUUUUGUUGUAUUUUCAUUGUGAUGAAUUCAUUUGAUCUCAUUAAUGAAAUUUUAUAUGAAAAUAUUCAACAUAUUGAUGGAAAUCUGGAAUGACAAUAUAAUGAAUUAAAAGAUUCAAAUAAC